GGUUAACACCUGAAGGGAAUCAAGUCGGUGGAGCCGCACAAGUUGACGGAGUUUACGGAAUAUUGCACCACCAGAAAUAACAGUUCAAGGGAGUCUUCGUACUACCAUCAUUACAGCCGGCACAGCUCCCCGGAUGUCGCACAACUUAGUUCAUCUAUUGCAUUUGCACAAGUCCCAGUUGCAUUAAUUCUGGGUAUACCAAUAGCUAAACAAUUAUUCGAAUCAACCGGAAAUCGAUGUCCUACGCCUCGGGACCUCAACGAAUGCUGUCAAACUUGGACCGAGAUACUCGAUGAAGCAAAAGCGCUCCCAAUACACGCAUAGACUACCAAAAAUGAACUGAGAUCCAGUGAAGCUUCCAAUGAGGAAAAUAGCGGAUCAUUGGAACCACUGCUAUGCUGGAUGUCAAAAACUUUAGUUGCCGCCAGAGCAGAUACAGUAACAUUUACAGCAACAACAUAGCGGCCAAAGCAAUGAGCUGAAAUACUAGGACCGAGGGAAAAGUAUCCGGGUUUGAACCUGCCUACAGCAGUUGAGCAUUUUGCAGUUGUAGACGAAAAGCAAAUCGGAAACGUCAAUGAAAAAGAAAACCAAUACAUGCCCUUAUCGAAUUCUCAAAGGAAAAGGUUCAGCAGCUGUCUUCUUCACCGAAAUACAGCAACGCGUUGCAAAGAAAUAUUACUACUUUUGAAAAAGAAGGUCUGUAGAAAAUAUCAACUAUCAAGCAAGCUGCUUUCCAGGGUAUCCCUACCUUUCAAGAGUUCGGCGAAACACAGAAGCGGGUAACCGACGAAGCCAUAAAAAAGGAUAACUGCUAUUGAAGCAGAAGUUUGCAUUAUAAUAUUUGGAGAAGACAAACAUGUGGAAUACGCAUGUAGAAAAUGUGGAACCGUCGACUUGCACAACGAAACCGUUAGAGUGCCUACUUGUUAACGAGGGAAAGAAGCAAAAGACUAACCGGGAAUCAACUAGUAGAAACAAGAGAAUGAUCAGGAUUUCAGUGGAUGCAUAAAAGGGCUGGCAAGAGCAACCUGAAUGGAAAAUAAAGCCGCGUCUGGUGCAACUGCAUAAAGCUGUGGAUCGUGAAUACUCUCCUCUCCAUCAAAUGCUCAAAAACAAUGUACGUUAGCUGGUUUCCGACGACAUGUAUGAAUUAAUCCUAUUGCUGUCGAACCAAAGUGACCUCGCGACAAUCCGCACAGUUGCAAAGAACUGUGCAUCAUUGAUACAUGUCUUUCCAUUAAACCCGUGAACAAAAACACUCGUCAGCAACAUGAAUUCACUGACAUAACCAUGAAUGUACGAAAGCUAUCAAAAGACGCGGAACAAACCACAUGAAGACGCCCAACAGUAAAUUGAACAGUAGACUGUAGGAACGGGUCUACUACAAAAAGCCAAAUAUGCUUGUUAGGUCUGUAAACUGGAUACACAACCAUAGAAUAUUGAUUCAUAAAAUUGCGAGAUUCAAUCACCUGUAACUGUUUUUUUUUCACCGAACCCACAACCUAAGUACAUAUUUGUUAUUUCGCAACCGUUGUAUAAUAAUAUAAUUUUAUUAUUAAUUCAAAGAAUGGAAAACGAGUGAUACAAAAAUACUGUUUUGAACAUCAACAAUUUUUAAUAAAAUAUAAGUUUUAUUUUGAA